UUUAUAAUUGUUUGUACUAUGGAUCAUCGUCGAUAAAUAAUAUAAACUGUCUUUUCAUUCGUUUCCCAAAGAUCAAAGAAAAAACUUGUGGUUAAGUAAAUUAAACUUGACAAGUGUUGGCCAGUGGGAUAAAAUUUGUUCAAACCAUUUUAAAUCACAGGAUUAUUUUGUUCAUGGUUCCAAAAAAUGAUUAGUAUAUGAUGCAGUACCAACUCAAGAUGUUUUGAAAAAUAAAGAUGAAAAUGAUUCAAAUUAGGUUUAAUCACCAGAAACACCACUGUAUCAAUCUAAAAGAUACCUAACUGAUAAAUGUGAAACUAUUUUCGAGCUCAUCUGUAUCCCCUAGAAAAGUAUUCUGUUCUUCGUCAAGAUUUGGUGACUUGACUGAAGUAGAUUUUAGUACUCCUCGGAGAUCGAAAAAAAAUUUUCAAUUUGUCCAAACAGCAGUGUCAGA